UCAGGUAGGAUUACCCGCUGAACUUAAGCAUAUCAAUAAGCGGAGGAAAAGAAACCAACCGGGAUUGCCU
rnacentral:rRNA from 1 species